rnacentral:ncRNA from 2 species
UCAAACAAGCUGGGGUGCCAUAAAGCUGGCUGAGAUAAUACCCAUAGAACCUGAGCAAGGUAAUGUUGCUAGGGAGCUUGGUUUGUUUACCA